CGAGCGGAAGGCCACUUCGGUGGUACUCGAGCGGCGAACGGGUGAGUAACACGUGAGUAAUCUGCCCUUGGCUUCGGGAUAGCCACCGGAAACGGUGAUUAAUACCGGAUAUGACCACUUCGCGCAUGCGGUGGUGGUGGAAAGUUUUUCGGCCAGGGAUGUGCUCGCGGCCUAUCAGCUUGAUGGUGAGGUAAUGGCUUACCAUGGCUUCGACGGGUAGCCGGCCUGAGAGGGUGACCGGUCACACUGGGACUGAGACACGGCCCAGACUCCUACGGGAGGCAGCAGUGGGGAAUAUUGGACAAUGGGCGGAAGCCUGAUCCAGCAACGCCGCGUGAGGGAUGACGGCCUUCGGGUUGUAAACCUCUUUCGCCUGUGACGAAGCGCAAGUGACGGUAACAGGUAAAGAAGCACCGGCCAACUACGUGCCAGCAGCCGCGGUAAUACGUAGGGUGCGAGCGUUGUCCGGAAUUAUUGGGCGUAAAGGGCUCGUAGGCGGUUUGUCGCGUCGGGAGUGAAAACGCCGUGCUUAACACGGCGCUUGCUUUCGAUACGGGCAGACUAGAGGUAUUCAGGGGAGAACGGAAUUCCUGGUGUAGCGGUGAAAUGCGCAGAUAUCAGGAGGAACACCGGUGGCGAAGGCGGUUCUCUGGGAAUGACCUGACGCUGAGGA
rnacentral:rRNA from 1 species